CGUCUCCAUUGAAAUGGUGUUGUUAGCUUUCUGCCACUGCUGCCUGAUGUGGGCCUCAGAAGACUCAGAGCAGGGUGCUGGCCGGGCCAGGCUCCUUCUGGAGACAGUAAAGGUGGUGUUGUGAGAAUAUGGUUCUCACAAGUUGAGGGUUGUCGGCUGGAGGCCACCCUAACUGCUGAGGGCUGCCUGUACUUCUCACUCUGGUCAUCAGAGCCAUCAAGGAGACGUGUGACACAGCGCAGAGCCCGCACCAGGAAUGGAUGUGCAAAGCAAGCCUCAGAAGAUGGCCAAAAACAGCACCAGCAAGACAGCGACACAGUUGACCUGACACCCGUCUCCGUCCGCUGCCCACCAGUACCGCGGUGUCCCAGUGCCAGUGGAGGGGACUGAGGGCGACUGAGGGCUCCACGUCCUCUGAAGAAGCGAGCAGCACACGCCCUGGUCCUCGCCUGAGGUUCCUGAUGAGCAGGUGUCUGGCGCCAGGACAUUGCUCCAGUGCAGGCCUUUCGGGGCAGUUCAAGGAAGACGAGGGAGGAGGCUACAUAUGACGACUCCAGCUUCAGGAGAAGGGAGCAGUGAGGCCAUCCCUGGGCCUUGGGAGCAAAGCUGUCCUUCAAGGUGAGUGCCCCUUUGUGGUGCGGUUGGUUGACGCUAAAGUCAGUAAGCCUUCAGCUAAAAUUGCCUCUGGUGAAUAAAUCCCACAGAAGGGAAAUGGCAAA